rnacentral:rRNA from 1 species
UACGAAGGGGGCUAGCGUUGCUCGGAAUCACUGGGCGUAAAGCGCACGUAGGCGGCUUUCUAAGUCAGGGGUGAAAUCCUGGAGCUCAACUCCAGAACUGCCUUUGAUACUGGAGAGCUUUGAGUCCGGAAGAGGUGAGUGGAACUCCGAGUGUAGAGGUGAAAUUCGUAGAUAUUCGGAAGAACACCAGUGGCGAAGGCGGCUCACUGUCCGGUACUGACGCUGAUGUGCGAAAGCGUGGGGGAGCAAACAGG